rnacentral:rRNA from 1 species
UACGUAGGGCGCAAGCGUUGUCCGGAAUUAUUGGGCGUAAAGAGCUCGUAGGCGGCCUGUCGCGUCUGCUGUGAAAUCCCGGGGCUUAACCCCGGGCGUGCAGUGGAUACGGGCUGGCUGGAGGCAGGCAGGGGAGAACGGAAUUCCCGGUGUAGCGGUGAAAUGCGCAGAUAUCGGGAGGAACACCGGUGGCGAAGGCGGCAUCCUGGACCGGCAUUGACGCUGAGGCGCGAAAGCCAGGGGAGCAAACGGG